rnacentral:rRNA from 1 species
GACGAACGCUGGCGGCGUGCUUAACACAUGCAAGUCGAACGGAAAGGCCCUGCUUUUGUGGGGUGCUCGAGUGGCGAACGGGUGAGUAACACGUGAGUAACCUGCCCUUGACUUUGGGAUAACUUCAGGAAACUGGGGCUAAUACCGGAUAGGAGCUCCUGCUGCAUGGUGGGGGUUGGAAAGUUUCGGCGGUUGGGGAUGGACUCGCGGCUUAUCAGCUUGUUGGUGGGGUAGUGGCUUACCAAGGCUUUGACGGGUAGCCGGCCUGAGAGGGUGACCGGCAACAUUGGGACUGAGAUACGGCCCAGACUCCUACGGGAGGCAGCAGUGGGGAAUAUUGCACAAUGGGCGGAAGCCUGAUGCAGCAACGCCGCGUGCGGGAUGACGGCCUUAGGGUUGUAAACCGCUUUCGCCUGUGACGAAGCGUGAGUGACGGUAAUGGGUAAAGAAGCACCGGCUAACUACGUG